GGAGAGAUUUCUUUGAAGGUUGGGGAGUCAGGGCUGGAGUGACUUUCACCCUUAACCUAAAGGAAGGAGAGACGAGGUCAUCUGAGAAGCAAGAUGGUGAGGUCUCAUGUAUCCACAAGGGGGCUUGCUUUCUGGGGACUGCUGUCCAUCCCUGAAACAAAUGGGCUCUCUUUUCCCAGGGGUGGCCCUUGCCCCACAGAUGAUCAUGGGGCCACAGUAAAGUAUGGUCAUGUGUGAAGACAGGUAUUGCUUGUUUAUUCAAUGGAGGCGUGGCCGUGGAUCCUUAAGGUGUCUUUGGAGGUGGUGAAUACAGGCCGUCUCAUCCCUCUCAUGCACUGAAUGUUCCUACUGUCCCCUGAAGAGGGGGCAAGGAUAGGCAAAGGCCUGAUCCAGCCCCUUGUCUCCACAGGUGACCACCCCUACGAGUGUGAGUUCUGUGGCAGCUGCUUCCGGGAUGAGAGCACACUCAAGAGCCACAAACGCAUCCACACGGGUGAGAAACCCUACGAGUGCAAUGGCUGUGGCAAGAAGUUCAGCCUCAAGCAUCAGCUGGAGACGCACUAUAGGGUGCACACAGGUGAGAAGCCCUUUGAGUGUAAGCUCUGCCACCAGCGCUCCCGGGACUACUCGGCCAUGAUCAAGCACCUGAGAACGCACAACGGCGCCUCGCCCUACCAGUGCACCAUCUGCACAGAGUACUGCCCCAGCCUCUCCUCCAUGCAGAAGCA
rnacentral:sRNA from 1 species